rnacentral:rRNA from 1 species
GACGGCCUUCGGGUUGUAAACNCCUUUCACCANGGACGAAGCUUUUCUGACGGUANAUGGANAANAAGCACCGGCUAACUACGUGCCAGCAGCCGCGGUAAUACGUANGGUGCGAGCGUUGUCCGGAAUUACUGGGCGUAAAGAGCUCGUANGUGGUUUGUCNCGUCNUCUGUGAAAUUCCGGGGCUUAACUCCGGGCGUGCAGGCGAUACGGGCAUAACUUGAGUACUGUAGGGGAGACUGGAAUUCCUGGUGUAGCGGUGAAAUGCNCNNAUAUCAGGAGGAACACCGGUGGCGAAGGCGGGUCUCUGGGCAGUAACUGACGCUGANGANCGAAAGCNUGGGUAGCGAACAGGAUUAAAUACCCUGGUANUCCAUGCCGUAAACGGNGGGCGCUAGGUGNNGGGGUCUUCCACGACUUCUGUGCCGUANCUAACGCAUUAAGCGCCCCNCCUGGGGAGUACGGCCGCAAGGCUAAAACUC